UNUUGGGCGUAAGCGUUUGUAGGUGGUUUUUUAAGUCUACUGUUAAAUAUUAAGGCUUAACCUUAAAUCAGCGGUAGAAACUAAAGAGCUAGAGUUUAGUAGAGGUAGAGGGAAUUCUUGGUGUAGUGGUGAAAUGCGUAGAUAUCGAGAAGAACACCGGUGGCGAAAGCGCUCUACUGGGCUAAAACUGACACUAAGAGACGAAAGCUAGGGGAGCGAAUAGGAUUAGAUACCCUAGUAGUCCUAGCUGUAAACGAUGGAUACUAAGUAUUGAAUAAAAAAAAAUCAGUGCUGUAGCUAACGCGUUAAGUAUCCCGCCUGGGAAGUAUGCUCGCAAGGGUAAAACUCAAAGGAAUUGACGGGGGCCCGCACAAGCGGUGGAGCAUGUGGUUUAAUUCGAUGCAACGCGAAAAACCUUACCAGGAUUUGACAUUUCAUAAAAGGUAGAGAAAUAUACUUAAUAUAUUAUGAAAACAGGUGGUGCAUGGCUGUCGUCAGCUCGUGUCGUGAGAUGUUGGGUUAAGUCCCGCAACGAGCGCAACCCUUAUUUUUAGUUCAUGUGUCUAAAGAGACUGCCGGCCAUAAGCCGGAGGAAGGUGAGGAUGACGUCAAGUCCGCAUGCCCCUUAUAUUCUGGGCGACACACGUGCUACAAUGGUUAAAACAAUAAGAGGCUAAUUCGCGAGAAUGUGCAAAUCUUUGAAAUUUAAUCUCAGUUCGGAUUGUAGACUGCAACUCGUCUACAUGAAGUUGGAAUCGCUAGUAAUCACCGGUCAGCCAUACGGUGGUGAAUAUGUUCUCGGGCCUUGUACACACCGCCCGUCACGUUACGAAAGCUGGUUAUACCCGAAGUCAUAAUUUUAACCUAUUUAUUGNAAAAUAGUGCCGAANGUAGGGCGAGUAAUUGNAACGAAGUCGUAACAAGGUA
rnacentral:rRNA from 1 species